rnacentral:snRNA from 1 species
GUGCUUGCUGCUGCAGCACUUAUACUAAAAUUGGAACAAUACAAAGAUUAGCAUGGCCCCUGCACAAGGAUGACAGGUAAAUUCAUGAAGCAUUAGGAAAGAAA